GUGCCAAAACUUAAGCGUAAGGAAAAUUGUGCUCGGGUUUGAAACCCCGACAACCACUUACGUUGGUGAUAAUUUUUGGAGGGGAAAGGUCUGCGACGGUGUGGCCUGCCUACUUUGUGGGCUGCGCGCUGCAGACUUGCCC